ACAAUUGUUAUAAAAAAUACAUCAAUUACCAGAACAAAUGUUCUUAGGAGAUAAACAGGUAUCUUCCAGUGAUGAAAUUUCUGACUCUUUUUUUUGCCUCUUAUUUUAAAUCGAUCUAUGCGCCAUCACAAAAUCGUCAUGUAUAAUUCAACUUGUCUGAUUCAAUCGAUCUUCCUUAUGUGUUUAUUGAAAGGGAAGAAAUUUUCUGAAAGAUAAUGUUUCUUGAUGUUACUAAGGGAGCAGGUGCUGAUGGGGUGCCACCAUUCCUCUUAAAAUCGUGCUGUGAGUUUUUAAUUGAACCCUUGUACAUAAUUUUCAAUAAAUCCUUAGUUCAGGGGAGCUUUCCACUCGAAUGGAAAAAAGGAAUAGUAAUACCGAUCUAUAAACACGGUAAUCGUAACGAUAUUUCAAACUAACGUCCAAAGCAAUUCUCAAUUCCAUUGCCAAAAUCUUUGAAAGUAUCAUCUAUGAUAAACUUUACAUUGCAACAAACAACAUAAUUAUUGACGAGCAACAUGGUUUUAGGAAGGGAAGAUCUACCUCCACAAACUUAUGUCUUUUCACACAAUUUCUCAACAAAAACCUAGAGCACGGCGUACAGAUUGAUGCGAUCUACACUGAUUUCUCAAAAGCCUUCGAUUAGGUUGACCACAGUAUUCUCGUCAUAAAUGGGGUUGUCUGAAAUGCAACUUCUGUGGCUAAUAAAUUAUCUUAGCGAUAGACUGCUCUCGGAUCGUAUUGAUGGGCAUUUUUCGAAAAUUUUCACAGCCACCUCCACAGGGCUCGAAUCUGGGCUCCCUGUUGUUCCUCCUCUAUUUUAAUGAUAUUUAUACCGUAUUUCGAUUUUGUAUGUUUCUUUUAUUUGCUGACGUUCUGAAAAAUUUUAAACCUAUUAGAUCCAUUCAAGACGUACUUGAAAUUCAGAGUGAUGUUGCAAAGCUACAAGAUUGGUGCUCACUUAACGGAAUCUUAUUAAAUGUUGAAAAAUGCCUAGUAAUAUCAUUCUCGCGGGAAAGGAUAAUAUCAAAAUAUAGUAAUUUUCUUAUUGGGGAUGAAUUACAGAGGGUCACGCUGGUUCGUGAUCUGGGGCUCUCUCUUGAUGAGUCACUAAUGCCCACUGAUCAAGCCUGAGAUGCGGCAACCAAGGCACUUAGAUCCUUGGGCUUUGUCCUCAGAGAUGCUAAAAACUUUUAAAAUCCGCUAACUCUCAGAACAUUGUAUUUUACUUCAGUAAGACCUCAUCUUGAAUACGCCUCAGUUAUUUGGUCACCUCUGUAUUUUAUCCACAGAAUUCGACUUGAUCGAAUAUAAAAAAGAUUCCUACGUUUUGCAGCUAAACAACUGGGGAUACCGAUUCUCAGGCGUGAUCAUGAUUAUAGCGUGAUCAGAGCACACAAAUACCAACUGAAAUUAGCCUGUACGCUCCAUCGAAAUCAUUAAGAAAUAACAUUCUAUUCAAAAUUAACCAACAUCGAAUGAACUUUGGAACAAACUCUGUCAUAAGUCGAAUUUGUAAUGAGGCAAACUUUUAUGAAUCAGACCUUGAUUUUUUUGACCCAUCAGCAACGCACUUCAGAACAGAGCUUUAUAGAACAAUUAACAACGUGGCAUAAGUUUUUCCCGUAUGUUUUGGCUUUAGUUUUAGAUUUUAGAUACACUUUAAAUUGAUAACUUGUAAAUUGAUCACUGUACAAAGGGCUUGCCCGUUAAUUUUGAAUAAAUAAAUAAAUAAAUAUUAUUAGACCGGGAUGGCACUGCUCUUACUACUUCCGUUGGUUCCACGAAGUCGAGCUGCUGAUUGGUCGAUACCUCUGGUCUAUAUUCAAAUUCUGACGGGAUCCUCUGUCUUUUGGUGAUAAAACUCACGGAACCACGGAGUUGGGUAAUAAAUAAAUUGUAGAUGGAUUUUAUAUGAAAAUUCAAGUUAUAUAUUUCGCGCUUUUAAUCUUUAGAAUAUACCCCAUUAGUCCACUCACUCACUGUAUUCCAAAUCAUUCGUCACAUAACCGUUCUGAACCAAACGCGAGAUUGAAGGCUAGGGUGGACUAAUGAUUAUUAUUAUAAACAAUAAUAAUCAUUAGCAGGACAAUGGUUUUUAUAUAUAAAAAUUGUUGCACGUCGCGCUAGCAAAAUUGAUUAUCUGGUUGUAAAAUUUGCUGUUCUUAAAAAUCUCUCGCCACGAAAAGGAAAAGUUUCUAAGUAUAAGUUAGAAUUACAUUAAUCCGAGCGAAAUUAAAACAAACAUAUUCGGGUAAAUGCUAACAGAAAUUUGCUCGAAUCUGAUCAUAUCGACUUGCUUCUUUCUCCCUCGAAAACAAAAAUUUGAAGGUAGGGGUGAAAUGUCGGAGCAGCCAUCAUAAAAUUUGGAAUGGGCUGUGCCGAUUUUAACAAAUUAUUUAGCGAGAUUCAGUUCCCAAGUCGAAACCUGCUGCUUUUACAAGUUAAUACCUACAAGCUAAGAUUCUACUCUGCCAAAUGCGCUGGCAUGACAAAAAAUGUAUGAAAAAAGAGUAAUUUAUGAAUUUUAACAUGCCAGGACCGUUUCUAAUAGAAUAUUAAUCAGAGCACUUUAGCGUCGUUGAGUGACAAUACCCUCCUUGUUCUCGGCAACAGAAGAUUCGCAACGACGCAAAUAGGUUAGAUCUUGUCGAAAGUCUAAUUUAUAACUCAAAAGUCUUGGUUCCAGUUUAAGUUGAAAUGAUCAUUAUUUUCGAGAUUGAGAGAAUUUAAACAUCAAAGAAGUUGGCUAAAUUUUCCGAAAGAUCAAAGGAUUUUAUCUUCAGAGAAAAUGAAUAAUUAUGACGUUAAUUUUCCGUUAAACUUGCGUUCCCGAAUCAAUUUUAUAUUAUUAAUUUUGGAAUAAGAGUCAAAAAUUAUUUUAUCUGCGUGCCUAUUUAACUUCCAAAUCUUUAUUCUUAUUAUAUUAAGUUAAAUAUGACAGAGAGACAGCAUUCAUUUCUAAUAUGUAUGUAUUUUGGUGAUUUGAAUUGUAAAAUUUUCGCGCGUUUAGAGUUCAGAAAUACCCACUUCCAGGGAAAUUGAGAAAAUUUUAAAUCCCCAUAUGGUUUUAUUUUUAGUUCCUUAUAUUGACCAUUUUGUAUCCGUCAAGAGAAACAGCGUUGAUUGGCUGUCAAGUCUUUGCGCUGAUAGGGUACGAUUUUGGCGAGUUUAUUUGAAUCGAAUAAUUGUUUAUAAAAAAUCAAACUUAAAAUUUCUGAAAUUUUUUAAACAGUUUUUUUAUAUUUCAGUUUCAUUUUUUGUUUUUCGUCGUUUUAGUCUAUUUCAGCAACAUUGCACAAUUACAUUAGGUGUAGUUUUUUUGAUCGUUUAUAAUUUUUCAUGAAGGUAACUAAAACAUAAGAAAUUUUUAAUAUGUAGGAGUUCCUGUCGUGUUUUAUAUUCAAGAGAGUGAUGCCAGAAUUUUAAAGAGACUUUCAAAUGUUACAAUUGUUACCAAAGGCCAGUAAAAAUCUGAAAGUUCGGAUUCUUAUCUACACUCUUUUGUAUAUCAUAUUCUCGAACAUAUUACGUAGAAAAGCUUCGGAUUCUAUGCAUUAUUGUUCACAUAAUAUUAUUUUGUUUUAUGAGUGUGUAAUAACUAAUAAUGUUACAGUUGUAUAAUUUUUGGUUUCUACUUUAAUUCAGUGCUAGAAAGCGAUAAUUGGUACGCCUGAACUAUUGUAAAAUAAUUCGGCGAAGUUGUAAAAUAAAUUGAAUCUUAUUUUUAUCAAGAUAUUUAUAAAAAAUUAUGUAAGCCAGAAAAAAAUAUUUUCAAAUUGUAUUAGUCUACUAUUUUUUGCUGUAAGUUACUUUUAUUGCACUCCAUACACGGAAAAAAAUUCUUGAGACAAACGAGUGAAUCAAGAAUAUAUUAAACUCAAAGAAAGUGUCCGCUUAGAUUAGGUAAACCGUUUAGUUAGAAGAGUUAACAUUUAGUUACUUUAUGUAAGUUGUUCUCGUAAAUCAGUUAUUUGGACAAAAUUACUAAGUUCGAGAGUUUAAUAUUUUCAACAGAUUAUGUGUAAUUGCGUUGUCUUCAGAUUAGAAAAAAGAUUUAGUUGUUAUAGAAAUAUAUUAACUUACAGUAGCCAAUCUUUCGUCUGGUAUCGCAGAAAUGAAUGUCCCUGAAAUCCAUAUAAUGCAUUUGGAGGUUAAGUUUGUUAUUUUUAUCGCAUUUUUUGAUAUUUCAAUAUAGUUAACGCCUACAAUCGAAACAAAUGUAAAUUAUUAUUACCACAUCAGGAGCUCUAUUUAAUAUUAACUUUCGCGCACGUUUUAAGUAGUAAAAAGCGGUUAAUUGUCAAAAGUAAAUCUGAACUGUCACUGCUCCCGAUUAGGCCGUCGCGCCAUUUUAUUUCGCUGCUCCCAUAAUGCACCGGCGCUCUUCCGAUAAUUCCUUCAGACACCUAUUCUUAAUAUCCCUAUUACAGCUGUACUUAUUAGAGGUUUAAUUAUACGAUAUUCCCGAUAUAUGGAAAAUGGUCAAGGAUAUUCAUUUUCGCUGAUCCGGGGAUCUUUCUAAAUUCCAUCGUUCAUUUUCAGCUAAAUGUUUGGCUAUAAUAAGGAAUAAUAUCGCUGUCACAGCUCAAUUUUUUUUACCGUGUAGGCGAUUCUAGAAUCAUUAGCCUUCUCUUGAUGUAACAGUGUAAUCAGGGAAUUGGAAAUUGGUAAAAAUAUUUCAAGUCAGUAAUAAGAACCUUCAGACCUCGAAAUACUGUAUCAAAGAGUUGUUAAACCUUGAAUGUAUGCAUUAAUGCUUCUUGCGAACUCGAAGUCAAUCUUGACUCAUCCUUUAUCAGAUGAUCAAUCCAGGUCUUACUCUUGGAAAUAAGGAACUACUCAUUGAUUGUUCAGACUUGAACGAGUUUGGUCAAUUUUCGUUUUGGAUUGAGCAUCUCUUGGGUCUGGAGUUUGGUGAAUACCAACUUUGUAGCUGUCUCUCAACUUCAAUCCUAAGGAUGGUUGUCAAUCUCUUUAUCCUUUCCAAGAGGGACCCAGGAGUCUUUAUUCUUUGCAACUCCUAAGAAAAUACAGUUAAGGGACAAGAAUCUAUCCCUUAGCAUUGACGUUCAAGUUGGAGUUCACCAACAAUGUUUCAGCGUCCUCAUUUCUUGCAACUCCCGCAUCCAUUCGAGUGUGAAGAAGGUUCUAUUAAUUCAUCGUACGAGAAAUAAUGCCAAUUACCGUGGUCAUUGAAGAAUCGAAACUAAAGGACGAUCAUAAAUUUUCCGGCCAGAAUAAUUGUACUCGCAAUUUUUAAUUCCAAUAUUGUAU